rnacentral:rRNA from 1 species
UAGGGAAUCUUCGGCAAUGGGGGCAACCCUGACCGAGCAACGCCGCGUGAGUGAAGAAGGUUUUCGGAUCGUAAAGCUCUGUUGUAAGAGAAGAACGAGUGUGAGAGUGGAAAGUUCACACUGUGACGGUAACUUACCAGAAAGGGACGGCUAACUACGUGCCAGCAGCCGCGGUAAUACGUAGGUCCCGAGCGUUAUCCGGAUUUAUUGGGCGUAAAGCGAGCGCAGGCGGUUAGAUAAGUCUGAAGUUAAAGGCUGUGGCUUAACCAUAGUACGCUUUGGAAACUGUUUAACUUGAGUGCAGAAGGGGAGAGUGGAAUUCCAUGUGUAGCGGUGAAAUGCGUAGAUAUAUGGAGGAACACCGGUGGCGAAAGCGGCUCUCUGGUCUGUAACUGACGCUGAGGCUCGAAAGCGUGGGGAGCAAACAGGAUUAGAUACCCUGGUAGUCCACGCCGUAAACGAUGAGUGCUAGGUGUUGGGUCCUUUCCGGGACUCAGUGCCGCAGCUAACGCAUUAAGCACUCCGCCUGGGGAGUACNACCGCAAGGNUG